AGGAUGGGGGAGCUUGUGGACUCUCUGCCCUGGUAAAGUGCAUCGCAGGAAACAGCUGCUUUGGAAUUUGCCAGGACCAAGCCAGCAGGUGCCAGGUUCCAGACAAGAGCAGAGACUGGGGGGAUGUGAACACACAGAACGCACGUGGAUCAGACUCAUUCUCAGGGCUUCUCUGGUGGCUCAGUAGUGAAGAAUCCACCUACCAAUCCAGGAGACGUGAGUUCAAUCCCUGGUCCAGGAAGAUCCCACAAGCCACAGAGCAACUAAGCCUGGGUACUAUAACUAUUGAGCCUGUGCUCUAGAGCCCCUGCUCUGCAACAAGAGGGUACCCCCUCCUGCUCGCCGCAACUAGAGAAAAGCCCUCGCAGCAAUGGGUCACGGGUUCAGGCCCUGGUUGGAGAACUAAGAUCCUGCGUGCCCCAUUGCACAGCUACAAAAAAAAAAAAAAGAAUAGCAUAAUGUUCACAUGGGAACAGAAUCCUCACAAUUGCAAAUGAAGCUAAGCGCUGCAAGCACAUUUCCUUCUGUCUUACGAAAUCGCAGGAAACUUGUGGUUUUUUAUUGAGGCUUCAGGACAGUCAUCACCCUCUUUCCACUAAGACCAUAGAGAUUCUCCUCCAGCUGUGCAUCCUAAAUGUCAUGUUGCUCCAGGGUUAGGGCUCGAAGUUCUACCUGCUAAAGCUGGAGUCCAUGAAUGGUACUUGGGCCAGUAAGUCUCAAAGUUCUGACAGACAGCUAUAGCAGCACAGAGGCAAGGGUAGCAUAGAGAUAGGUAGGCAGACGGACCAAUGACCAUCAACAGAAAUGCAAGACUUAACACCAUGCUACUUAAAAACAUCUAAUGGUUCCCACACACAAAACAAUGUCUCAACGCCUUAGAACUACAUAAAGAACUAUUUCUGUGCAGGCACAGCCAAUGGAACCACCGCACAAUUGCACUCAUCUCACACGCUAGCAAAGUAAUGCUCAAAAUUCUCCAAGCCAGGCUUCAACGGUACGUGAACCAUGAACUUCUAGAUGUUCAAGUUGGAUUUAGAAAAGGCAGAGAAACCAGAGAUAAAAUUGCCAACAUCUGCUGGAUCAUUGGGAAAGCAAGAAAGUUCCAGGAAAACAUUUAGGUCCUCUUUAUUGACUACACCAAAGCCUUUGACUGUGUGGAUCACAACAAACUGGAAAAUUCUUAAAGAGAUGGGAAUACCAGACCACCACCUGACCUCCCUCCUGAGAAAUCUGUAUGCAGGUCAAGAAGCCACAGUUAGAACUGGACAUGGAACAACAGACUGGUUCCAAAUCGGGAAAGGAGUAUGCUAGUGGGAAGCUGCUCUAUAGCACAGGGAGAUCAGCUCAGGGCUCUGUGAUGACCUAGAGGGUUGUAGGAUUAGGGAGGGAGGUCCAAGAGGGGGUUGUGGUAAUGAUGUGACAUAAUGCAUAUAGAAAGCUGAGUGCCAAAGAAUUGAUGCUUUUAAACUGUGGAAUUAGAGAAGACUCUUGAGAGUCCCUUGGACUGCAAGGAGAUCCAACCAGUCCAUCCUAAAGGAGAUCAGUCCUGGGUGUUCAUUGGAAGGACUGAUGCUGAAGCUGAAACUCCAAUACUUUGGCCACCUCAUACGAACAGUUGACUCAUUGGAAACGACCCUGAUGCUGGGAGGGAUUGAGGGCAGGAGGAGAAGGGGACGACAGAGGAUGAGAUGGCUGGAUAGCAUCACCGACUCGAUGGACAUGAGUUUGAGUAAACUCUGGGAGUUGGUGAUGGACAGAGAAGCCUGGCGUGCUGCGAUUCAUGGAGUCACAAAGAGUCAGACAUGACUGAACAACUGAACUGAACUGAACAGUCAGUGGUGGGAUUCCCAGAUAGCUCAGUGGUAAAAAUCUGCCUACCAAUGCAGGAGACAUGGGUUCGAUCCCUAGAUCAGGGAAGCUCCCCUGGAGGAGGAAGUGGUAACCCACUCCAGUAUCCUUGCUGGGAAAAUCCCAGGGACAGUGGAGCCUGGCUGGCUAUAGAUCAUGGGGUCACAAAGAGUCGGACACAACUGAGUGAGCAUGCACAAUCAGCGGUACCAGCUUCACUGCCCACUUUACAUUCCUCCUGUUGAUACAUUUGUGACAUCCUUGAAUACUCCUUUUUAACUCUAUGCUUUUGAAGAUUCUUCUACCAAGAAUUCCUUCCCCUACUUUGAGAGUUAAUUGUUCAUCAUAUGUUAUUGGUAUAACUCACUAUAUUAACACUUAGCCAAACUCCACAACGGACAACAGUUGAUGCUUUAAAAAGGAAGUUCAGCAUUUUCUGAUUUUCUUAUCUCAGUAUAUUAAAAUUUUUGAACGGUUAAGUACAUCUUUGUGAAUAAAUCACUGGAUUGCUCCUCUUCAGUAAGGAAUCUCCCAUCAUCCAGCCAUAACUUGAUGUACAUGUAAAUAACUGACGCAGAGACAAGACGGUAAAUGAAGUGAAGUGGGGCAAACCAGUAAGGCAGGAUGGAUGUGUCCAAACAGAUUGGCCAGUGUACAUGUUUAAACAGUGUGGGCAGUUUUCCGGAGGCCAAGUGUACUGGAUGGCUUGUUUUGAAAAUACCAGCAUAAACUUCUUAAGCAAAUGUUUUAUGGUGUGUAACACAAGUAUAAAACUGAUGCGUUAAGAAAAUUAGUCACUGGGUUUGCUUUGCUAAUGAAACAGAAAUGACUUUUUUUUUCUUUAUAAGAAAAUCUUGAAUGCUGUUCUCGGGCUGAGACAGCAUGGAGCCAGUCACUCCCACAACAUUCUUCUUCCGAGAGCACGCAACUCCCAUCUGAUGGAGGGCUGCUCUUAUCUAACCUUGUUCUUCCCAAAUGACACCAUCCCUUUCGCUAUUAAGAAAUGACUUGUACUUUAGCUUUACCUCUUGAAGUAAGGUUUGUUACUGCAUUUAAAGAUUAUGUGGCAAGUAAAUGCAAAAUGUAAAGCUGUCUCCCCAUUCCAGUCCAAACACCAGCAUGAAACAUCUGAUAGGCCACAGAGAGAAAGAAAGAAGGAAAUAAGCAGUUACUGAGUCCAUAUUAUGUACCAGGCAAGGCUUCUAGGCUGUAGCUUGUCCCAGACUUGAGACUGUAUCUGUGGCAUCUCUAGUGCCUGGCACAGUUCCUGGCACCUACACAGUUGCUCAAUAAACAUUUAUUUACUGAACCAAUCGAAAUGCAUUCCAGACGUUAUCCCAUUUAAUAUUCACAACCACCUUCUGAAUUUCCCAGUGUUUUCUUCAUGUCAUAAAGAGACUAAGUAAUUCAUCCAGGAUCACAGUGAAAGGCCUGAUUACAAACCAAGGAUAUAAGUCAGACGUCUUAGGGGACUUCCCUGGUGGUCCAGUGGCUAAGACCCUGCAUUCCCAAUGCAAGGGGACCAUGUUCGUUCCCUUUUCAGGGAUCUAGAUCCCACAUGACACAACUAAGACCUGAUGCAGCCAAGUAAAUAAAUUAAAAAAAAAAAAAAACAGGAUGUGAGACAUGUUAGCAGUCAUGUAGAAAAAUACAACUUUUAAUAGAUGAAACAAAGUGUUCACUGAAUUUAAGUGACUGUCUCCAUAGACCACUUACAGCAGAGCAAAUGACAUGACUACAAACAUGAAAAUCAAGACAAACAUAGGAUUUUUAAGUUUAAAAUAUUCUAAACAAUAGGUAUGGCCAUUGAUACAAGAAUAUAUAGGAUUCAACUUGAUAUUUUGAGUGUGCCUGUAAUAUGGCAAGAACAAAAAUGACUAAGCAAUAGACUCUGCCCAUGAAGAUACAACACAAACAGAAACAGUACAAUAAAUCAGACCCUAUGCCUUUACAGGGGCUUCCCUGGUGACUCAGAGGGUAAAGAAUCUACCUGCAAUGUAGGAGACCUGGGUUCGAUCCCUGGAUUGGGAAGAUGCCUUAGAGAAGGGAAUGGCAACCCACUCUAGUCUCCUUACCUGGAGAAUCCCAUGGACAGAGGAGCCUGGCAGGCUACAGUCCACAGGGUCACAGUCAGACACAACUGAGUGGUUAAUUAUAUGCCUUUACAGAGUUAUGAAGCAAGCUUUGUGGGGGCACCAUUGAUGGAACAAGUAACACCACACUAAAGAGGAAGAGGGCUUCCCAGGUUCCUCAGUGGGUAAAGAAUCCACCUGCAAUGCAGGAAAUGCAGGAGACAUGGGUUCAAUCACUGGGUGGGGAAGAUCCCCUGGAGGAGGGCAUGGCAACCUACUCCAGUAUUUUUGCCUGGAAAAUCCCAUGGACAGAGGAGCCUGGAGGGCCACAGUGCAUAGGGUCAUAAAGGAGUCAGACAUGAUUGAAUAGACUAAGCACGCAUGCAAAGAGGAAGAAGAUUAAGGGUAUUGUUAAAGAAACAUUGCAGAAGCAAAGAAGAGUCACAGAAGGUCCCGGCAAGGAGAGAAAACCAUGAGGAGCUUCAUAAAGUGGUUGUUUAGACUGCGUAGGAAGAAACGGUAGAAUACAAUCCUGGAAACGCAGAUUGCUAUCAAUUGUGAGGACGUUCUGCCCACGUCCAUUUGCUAAAGGAAUAAGAAUGUUUCCCUGAAAUGUUUUAUGCCAAGUACCCAAAGGAAGACUGGUGUGUCUUGUCUGACUCAUGGCAUCAGUGUUCAGCUCUUAUCAGACAACUUCCUUUAACUCACAGGGGCUCCUUCUCAACCUGCUGGUUUCCUUCUCUGUCUCUGCUCAUUCUGAAAGAAAAAAUGAGCCCAGUAAUUGAAUCUUAACCCAAAUUCACACCCGAUUACCUCAUAACGCACAAUUUCAACAGUAGAAAAGCAUGAUACUCCCCUGAUAUUGCAACAGGGCAAGAGUUUUCUCUUCUGAAUAAAACUAGCUUCUGAAAUGAGAUGGAUGAAACUGGAGCCCAUUAUACAGAGUGAAGUAAGCCAGAAAGAUAAAGAACAUUAAGCAUACUAACACAUAUAUAUGGAAUUUAGAAAGAUGGUAACGACAACCCUAUAUGCAAAACA